rnacentral:rRNA from 1 species
AGACCCAAACUAACAGUAGCCGGCGUAAAGAGUGGCAAUAUGUUAUCCAACCAAAUUAAGACCCAAACACAGCUAAGCUGUCACAAGCCCAAGAUGUUCCUAAAAUCACCAUAAAAAUGGUCUUAACACCCACGAUCAAUUUCACCCCACGAAAGCUAAGGCACAAACUGGGAUUAGAUACCCCACUAUGCUUAGCCUUAAAUCAUGAUACUUACCCCACCUAAGUAUCCGCCCGAGAACUACGAGCACAAACGCUUAAAACUCUAAGGACUUGGCGGUGCCCUAAACCCACCUAGAGGAGCCUGUUCUAUAAUCGAUAAUCCACGAUUCACCCAACCACCCCUUGCCAUGCAGCCUACAUACCGCCGUCGCCAGCCCGCCUCAUGAGAGAACAAUAGCGAGCACAAUAGCCCACCCGCUAACAAGACAGGUCAAGGUAUAGCAUAUGGAGUGGAAGAAAUGGGCUACAUUUUCUAACAUAGAAUACACACGAAAGAGGAUAUGAAAUCAUCCUCAGAAGGCGGAUUUAGCAGUAAAAUAGAAUAAGAGAGUCUAUUUUAAGUCGGCUCUAGGGCACGUACAUACCGCCCGUCACCCUCCUCAAAAGCUAUAACACCCCAUACAUAAUAAGCUCCGCAGCUGAAGAUGAGGUAAGUCGUAACAAGGUAAGCAUACUGGA